UAUUGCGCAAUGGGGGCAACCCUGACGCAGCAACGCCGCGUGAUUGAAGAAGGCCUUCGGGUUGUAAAGAUCUUUAAUCGGGGACGAAUUUUGACGGUACCCGAAGAAUAAGCUCCGGCUAACUACGUGCCAGCAGCCGCGGUAAUACGUAGGGAGCAAGCGUUAUCCGGAUUUACUGGGUGUAAAGGGCGUGUAGGCGGGCAUGCAAGCCAGAAGUGAAAUCUGGGGGCUUAACCCCCAAACUGCUUUUGGAACCGCGUGUCUUGAGUGAUGGAGAGGCAGGCGGAAUUCCCAGUGUAGCGGUGAAAUGCGUAGAUAUUGGGAGGAACACCAGUGGCGAAGGCGGCCUGCUGGACAUUAACUGACGCUGAGGCGCGAAAGCGUGGGGAGCAAACAGG
rnacentral:rRNA from 1 species